UAGCUCCUGGGUUCUAAGAUACUGUAAUAACAUAAUUGUAAAACCCCCAAAUUUCCUUUUUACCUUUUUGAGAUAAAACAUACAAUACAAUGCGCUGAAAACCUAAAAAUUUUAGGAUUUUGAAAUAGUUUGAAGGAUUAAGAUUUAGGCUUUUUAUAGUAGCCCUUUAGUAUUUUUAGGAAGCAUGUUGAAAUCAUUUAUAGGAACAGUUAAACCCUGAUGCCGUUUUAGUUUCUGGGGGGCUUUUGUUCUGGUUUUGGGGUUUUGUUUUUUUCCUAGCAAUACUCUGAAUAUAACUGGUCUGUUUUAAAUAGAAUUUGAAAGAUAGUUCAGGCUGCUGUGCUUUUGCAUAUCUAUAGGGUUUUUCUGUUUGGGAACGUAGGUUUCUAGGACUAGAAGUACCUAAAACUAGAUGGAAUAAUGAAGUCCUGCUUUAUUGCAGUCACUUAAGCUUGGUGUUAAUGCUGUUUGGGAGGAGACACCCAAAACACGGAAUCAUAACUGUCAGUGGACUUUUCACAGACCUAAGGGGAAAGUUGGGCUGUUAUGAGGGUGGUCUGUAUAUUCAGUCAAUUUGCAACUAUAGAGAACAGUACUGUGAACAUAAUUGUCUCUGGUUAUACAGUGAUGGCUCUGAAGGUGGUAUACCUGUGAGAAUAUGGCAACACACUUUUAAAUCAAGUUACUGUGCCGGUUAAGUGACUAAAUCUAUUAGUCUUUUAUUCUUUUUCUUUUUGUAGUCUGGUAGCAUUUUAUUAAAACUUUGAACCUUUUAAGAUUUCUGCAACUUAGCAGAUGUGUCUUAAGAUCUUGAAAAGCACAAGGUUUCUUAUGCAGCACAUACCACUAACUGGUGAGUAGGUCUUUGUCACUUCAUUGAGUGAAUUGAAUCUGUCUGGUUGGGCUUGUUAGGCUUACUUGGAAAUUAAAUUUCCUGUUCAGACCUUGAAAGUGAGAAGUGUGUAAGCUUUUCAGUGGGUUAAUCUGAUGUGAAAUUUCUUAAAACUCAUUUUGGAAUGGGUUUUCACAUCUGCACUAAUUCUUAAAUUUUUUAGCACUACAGGGAAGAUCUAUUCUUUGAAACAGGUGUAUGAGAAUGGCUCAAGUGGGAACAUACCACAAGGCAUGUAUUAUCGUAAACUAAUUUUCAAAUUACCCUUUUUUCCUUUCUAUGUUCCCGGUACCUGUGGAUCGACUCAUUGGUGAUUGUAUCGACGAACGUUGACUACGGAACCUUCUAAAAUAUUUACUUAACACACAUGGACAUCAACUACAUAUAAUGAACUGUUACUUAACUGUUCCAAUAGCGUACUGAGCGCUUUGGGCAGGGAGGUGCGGGACCUGUGGGUGGACAGGGUCCUAGAGGAAUGGGGCCUGGAACUCCGGCAGGAUAUGGUAGAGGGAGAGAAGAGUAUGAAGGCCCAAACAAAAAACCCCGAUUUUAGAUGUGAUAUCUAGGCUUUCAUUCCAGUUUGUUUUUGUCUUUUCUUGUUUAGAUACCAAUCUUUUAAAUUCUUGCAUUUUAGUAAGAAAGCUACCUUUUUAUGGAUGUUAGCAGUUUAUUGACCUAAUAUUUGUAAAUGGUCUGUUUGGGCAGGUAAAAUUAUGUAAUGCAGUGUUUGAAACAGGGGAAUUUUUUUUUUCCUUUUUUCCUUUUUUUUUUUUUUAACUGUAUAAUGUCCCUCAAUUUAUGGCAGUGUACCUUGUGCCACUGAAUUUCCAAAGUGUACCAAUUUUUUUUUUUUUACUGUGCUUCAAAUAAAUAGAAAAAAUAGUUAAGAUUUUGAUCUUCAACUUUGCCAUUCAUGCUUCUAUGCACAUUAGGCUAGGUAUUCCACUUGGAAAGCAUAAGAGUGUCUAGGCCUUUGAAUGGCAUAUGCCAUUUCUGGGAAAUGUAUUUGUAGGCUAAGUAUUGCUUUCUACAUUUAAGUACCCCCUUGUUUUAAAAAGAAGAAAUGCAUAUUGAAGUAGUUUCAUGAUUUGAUUUGUUUGGCAUUAUAGGAAGCAAGCCGGUGCUAAGUAUUUUUAAAUGGCUAUGUAAGCAAAGCUGAACUGUAAAUCUUCAUUCAGGAAUGUGUAUUAAGAUUAUGGAAUGGGUGUAAGACUAUUGGUAGGGGGAGAAAGUGGGUAUGACUUAAAUGGAUCUUUUAUGGCCCUAUGAUCUAUCUUUUCCUUGAAAGUUUCUGAAGAACAAGUGGAAAGAUCAUUUUGUUGCAUUCCUCCAUUCUUGUUUUUUAAAGAACGAGUCCCAAGCCCUACAAACGGCUUGUAUUGAACUUUCACAUUUGAAUUAAAGAUUGUUAAACAUGAAGUCUUUUCAUGUAUUACUUCAAGUGAUUUAUAAAGAUGGGGUUUAGUCUGAAUCAUUCAACUCGAAAGUAAGGUAUAGUCAUCAUAAAGUAGGUUUGGCUAUGUAUACAUUUGUACUCUGUAACUUUUACAUCUCCUUGUGCUAUUUCUGUUGGGCAAAAAUCUGUAGGACUAUAAAAAAAACCUAUUUGUUUUCUUUUCUAAGAGCUGGUGGCGACUGUUAAUAACAAAUAGGGUUGCAGAGAACUAUUCUUACUGUGAAAUAUUUUUAACCCGUUUUUCCAUAGUUUCCUUUUGAUGUAGCACUAAAUCUGGAGAGUUGCUCGUGCUACACAGUACAAAUAUCCCUUCCUCCCACCAUAAAGCUUUGGAGCUUUUCGAUGGUGUUGUCAGUUUAUCGUCAACUUCAUUGAAUCUCAUUUCGUUAGAGACAUUUUGACUUAUUAAUAAAAUAGAUUGUUACUGUUGUCUGUUAGUAUAAUGGGAAACUGCUUUCCCAUGUUUAUAUUGUUAGCAGAGGAAUAACUUCCUAAAAGUAGUAGGUAAGGUAACUGAAUGGUUUGGCUUUGUUCUUAGUUAUGUUUCCAUUCAAAUUUGUACAUUAUAGAACUCUUACUAUGGAAUGUGUCUUCCUCCUUUUCACCUUUGUUGGUGUUAAUUGGCAAAAGUAAAAUUCUAAACCAAAUCUUUGUUUAAAUACUGAAGGCUUAGUAUUGUGCCUGAGUACAAAGGGAAACCUGUUGAAACAAUCGAGCACUUGUGCAUAGGAAACCUGUUAAUACUAAAAGUAAAACACUAGUGGAGUAUAAAGGCAUGCCACCGAAUUCUGGUUGUGUGACUGACAGGUACCUGGUGUGCUAAUUAAGGGAGAGAAUCUCAUUAGAAAAUGUUCAUUAUUUCUGUUCACCAAGACACUUGGAAAUGAUUAGUUCUACCAUAAUUAUAUCAAUGAGGAAGUUUUGUCCCAAGUCAAGUUAUUAAUUGGUGAUAAUGUAUGAGAUUUUCUGUACCGGAAACAAGGGUCUUGAUUUGAAAGGAGUCCAUUACAAUUUGAUUUGAAUUGUAUGGUAGGGACUCCACUAAUGAUAAAAUAAGGGGUGUUCAUGGGACACCCACAGAGGGUGAACUUGAAUGUGUGGGUGGGGGCUGGUGGGGAAAUGGAAAAAUCUGCCUAUAAAAUUAAUGUUUCAGUUUAUUUUUCAGAUUACAUGCCUUUCUUUAUAAGGGAUGCUGGCACAGACCCCUAAAAUAAGCUUUUGGUAGUACUGUACCUUUGAAGAGUGGUGAAGGAUGCUAAUGGAUAAUCUCCUGAAAGUUGUGGUUUUGAUAGCCUUACUGUGUAGAAUUGCUAAACGUUGUUUAGCAAGUAAUGUUGCUUAGUUUCAACUAAGUUUUGACUUUAAUCACUGAAACAGCAGUAUACCAAGGGUUGUAAGCUACUCAAAUAGACUUUCAACAAGUCUUGGAAUGUAUAUGAUAGUUCUUAGCCUAAUGUGAAUUUGAAUCAUCUUUAAAAGUAGAUUCCUAAAAGCCGAUUUAUGAAACUUGGGGUGGGAAAGGGAAAGUAGUACUUUUGAAGUAAUUUAGCCAUUUUUCUCAUUUAAAGAAACCACCUGCCCCCGUUUCCUCUUCUCCACUUUCUCUCAUAAUUUUGUUUUAAGAGGAACACUGAUUGUUUUUAAACUUAUUUACUCUUCUUAUAAUUCCUAAUCUUUAAAAACUGCAUUCUCUAAUAAGAGAUCCCAGUGUAUUUAAUAGGUAUUUUAGAAAGCUAACCCAUUGGCUCAACGUUUAGUGAAACCAUAAUCCUCUUUGUUUAGAUAAACUUCUAAGAAAUACUGUAAGCCCCACCACUCUUUAUUAGAUGUAUUAUACCACUAAUUUAAACAGACAAUAAUUUGGGAAAUUGUAAUGUUACGCCUGUGCAAUUUUUAUAAGUGGCAUAUUAUGGCAGAUAAAAAUUUAGAUACUUGGCUUUUCUUGGGCAAGCCACUAAGUUGUGGCGGAAUAUUUUCUGGUGUUCUUGGACUGCAAUUAUGCUAUUAAAGUAGUGGCCUGCUACAUAACUGCAUUUAGCCAGCAUUUCUGCAGUGCGUAACUGUGAGGAACGUAGUACCGCAAAUGGCAAUGGACAUUAGGACCCGGAUGUAGUAUUCCUGCUUGCUCCGAGAUUCUCAUUGCCGACUGCAUACAGGUAGGUAACAAGCAAUAUAAUCUAACUUGGUGACUUGCUAUGUACUUUUAUUCCGUGGGCAUUCUGACAUCAUACUUCUGACAAUGAAAUUACAGUGCAGCACCUAACACCUGUAUGAUAAAGCUAGCUUAUAUCAAAACUGCGUGGGUUUGGGUUUAGAGCUGUAAUUUGUCAGGCAGAAUUCAGUGCUGUUGCAGUUCUCAGAUAAAAAGUGCAAACUUGAUUAUUUGGUAUAUCUGAUUCAGUUGUGUGGUUUUUAGUUGCAUUGUAACUGAAGAUAACAUGAAACACAUCAGUGGUGUGGGGGAGGGGACCAUACCAUACUUCGGAAGUAAGAGUGCUUUUAAGCAUCUUGACACAGCCUGUAUAGCAUGUGAUAAUUAGUUUCUGUUGUAGCAAACUGACCUGCCCAUAGGUCAGCAAUAUCAAUUUGAGUGUAAUCUUGGUAAUUACUCUGCAGGUUGAGUGAAUUAAGACUAAAAGUACAGUUUUUUUUGUAAUGUGAUUAAAAAAUUUUUUUUAAUGGGCUCCAUGGGAACACCUUUGUUACUAACUUGGGGCAUAGAUGGGAAUCUAACAUGAAUAGUUCAAGUUCUGUGAUUUGUCUAAAUAUGUUUAUACUCUAAACCUGGGGGAAAGUGGUGUGGCACGUUGACUUGCCUAUUGAAUACACGUUGGGAAUCAUUUCCCAAUCAUAAGACUUCGUCGUAUUCUGUAGGAUAACUGCAAAUGUUCAGAGUAGCUUUUUGAAUUUGGCUCCCUUAGCUUUAGGGAUGUGAUGUUACAAUCCAAACUGUUCGAUUACCAAAACAAUAAGUCUUCAAAAGCACCUUCCUUUUGUUGCUUAGGAUUUAAGCUUUGCAUCGACUGUUGUUCCAGACCUCAAUUCAACUGAACUUUGGUCUAUGAACUGGUUUUUAGCUAGCAUGCAUGAGAAACAGCUUUCGUGUAUAAUGUUUUCUGCUCUGUAACUGGAAAGUUUGGUUUAUUUUGCAUAAAUGUUGGUAAAACUCUUCAUGACUAUGAGAAUUCUCUUUUCAUUGUAUCAAGAAAAAUGGCUUGUUCUUUGGCAAGCGAUUCACAAGGUGGGGACAAAUUUGUGCUUUAAUACGUAGUCCAUUCAACCAAAUGACUUGACUCUCCUGCUAGGUGAAAGAGCAAAUGGUGACUAGUUUAGCUCUCUAUAUUAGUAAUACAAUGCACAUCAAACAUAAUGCUCAGUAUUAGUGACAAAAGUGUCACUAAAUUGGCAUGCAUCCCUGAUGGAGUUUUCCUGUGGCAUAAUCCAUUAAGUCGGUGGCCAGCACUUGCUACCGUGGUUCAGUGAUUGUUCAGAAAUAAAAGCGCAGGUUUGUUUCUUAACAGUCAAUAACAAUUUUGAGAAAAUGUACUUGUUACAAUAUAUGGACAUCAUUGGGGUGGGGGGGUAAUUUUGCUUCAUUCUGCUUAUCUCAAGAUGAAUAGGCUUUUGCACUUUCGAUGAGAAACCUGUGACUUUAGUCAAUUCUUACUAGUUUUGGUUUGUAUGUAGCUGUAAUUUGUGAAUCUUAGUGCAGAGGGUCUUAAAAAAAUCACUCAGUCAAAAAGCUGGGGAUAAAUGGGUUUCAGUAAUAACUCUAUAUACCGAGGUGCUCGCAUUGUAUUUCAUAGUCUUUUCUUGUUACAAACCAAAAUUAUUUUUAAUGAGAAUGGUUGGAAGUUCAGAGGUGUGAUGCCAGAAUGCAUUUUCGUACUGUUAGGCCCUUGGAACAGGUACCGGUGCUUUAUGAAAGAUGAAAGAAAUGCAAUGGGUGCUCUUCACAUAAGGUUGCAAAACCUACAAAGAAUGCAUAAUAGUUUCACUUUUCCCCAAUAAAGAGAUGCGUGUGACUAGUUUUGGACUUUUAACCUUAAUGGGGGUUGCAUGUUUCCUAUUGUUAAUCAUUGUCAGCUGCAGUGACAUGAUACACAGUCCUGCAUUUACUGCCUUUCCCUUAAUGAUUUUGGACAGGUUUUAGAGAGCCAGGAUGUUUGUUCUGGGCCUUUAUUUGGUUUUGGCUUUAGCUGAUAAUGUUUCAGUGCUCUGUCAGCGAGUGCCGUUCUCAAAUGGCUGCCUCUUAGGGAAAGAAUUCAGAGGAUUUGGCUGCUCCUAAUCAUCUGUCAUUGCUGCUAGAUAAUGAUUGGCAAUUUUUAAGACUCAACUGUGGAAAUCUCACAGUUGGUAAACCAUCAAACAUAAAAAUGUUGCUUUUGAACACCAGUGCUGAAAAGAUUUAUUUGGAGGGUGAAAAAGGGGCUGGAUGCAGCAUAGGAUAAUCUGGAGAAUGGAGGAAGAAUGCAAAACGAUAUAGUAUCCCUUAUGGAUGGUACAUGUGCAACAGGGAACUAUUUCAUAUACCCUUGGCAGUUGCUGAUAAUCAGGGAGGAAGAAAAACCUGGAAUUUGAAUUAAGGCUGAUCUUUCUGGUUUUUGUGCACUGUGGCCCUGCCAGGCAUAUAUAGUGAAGGUGAAUGUCUUCUCCCUCAGAAAAACUCAGGUUCCUUGCUGUCCCGAUAAGGCAUAGCUUCCCUGCCCUAACUUAAAACUCAGUGAGGACUUAAGAGGGAAAGAAUGAGGCAAAUAUAUAGGAUUGCAGGAUAACAACUGCAUUGUUGUGUACUGUGGAAGGGGGAGGGCACUCUUGGUGGACUCCUGCUGAAGGUGGUCAGUCCACCUGAGAAUGGAAGACAUGCUUGGUGGGGAGCAGGGUACGUGCUUUUAUAUGAAAAGAGCCGAUGUUAAAACUCACUUGGUAAGGUAAACGUUGUCACAUACCUUCACAUAAGGGAUAGUAUAUUUUGGGUUGCAGUCAAACUUCAUUGUGGUCAGACUGGUGAAAAUGCAGUUAGGCUUUUGUAUUUUAAAGAAGAUACAGUUCUCACUCGAAUUCAGGUGUCUACUGCUACUUUACGUCAGAAUGAUUUUAGAUUUUUUCCCCCCAUGAAGUUUCUUCCUAUUUUUUAUGCUGUAACUUGCCCCAAAUCUUUGUCUCUGGAAUUUACUCUUUAAAUUUUGAAAUUAACUAGCAUUUUCAAAUCUUUAUGCCCUUGUCUUUUAUAUUAACUUUUUCUUAUUAUUCUUUAGGUAAGAAUGAUUGAUGUUGGCUGAUACUGGAGUGUUCAUUCCGUUGAAGUGGAUAAGAUAUUUAUUCUCAAGACCUACAGCAUGAGCUGAUCAAGAAGGAAAGCUACAACUUGUUAGACUGAUGAAAUAUCUAGGAUCAGGUGAACUAUGUCCCGAAAACCAGUGAGGAAGAGAGCAAAGAGGAAUAAACAACCUGUUGUUUAAUAAAGACAUUUUAAAAUCAGA